rnacentral:rRNA from 1 species
GCAGUGCCACGGUAAUACGUAGGUGGCAAGCGUUGUCCGGAAUUAUUGGGCGUAAAGGGCUCGCAGGCGGUUUCUUAAGUCUGAUGUGAAGGCCCCCGGCUCAACCGGGGAGGGUCAUUGGAAACUGGGAAACUUGAGUGCAGAAGAGGAGAGUAGAAUUCCACGUGUAGCGGUGAAAUGCGUAGAGAUGUGGAGGAACACCAGUGGCGAAGGCGACUCUCUGGUCUGUAACUGACGCUGAGGAGCGAAAGCGUGGGGAGCGAACAGGAUUAGAUACCCCCGUAGUCCCUGUCUCUUAUACA